GUGAGGAAUAUUGGACAAUGGGCGCAAGCCUGAUCCAGCCAUGCCGCGUGCAGGAAGACGCAUCUAUGGUGUGUAAACUGCUUUUGUACGGGAAGAAACACUCCCUCGUGAGGGAGCUUGACGGUACCGUAAGAAUAAGGAUCGGCUAACUCCGUGCCAGCAGCCGCGGUAAUACGGAGGAUCCAAGCGUUAUCCGGAAUCAUUGGGUUUAAAGGGUCCGUAGGCGGUUUAAUAAGUCAGUGGUGAAAGACCAUCGCUCAACGAUGGAACGGCCAUUGAUACUGUUAGACUUGAAUUACAAGGAAGUAACUAGAAUAUGUAGUGUAGCGGUGAAAUGCUUAGAUAUUACAUGGAAUACCAAUUGCGAAGGCAGGUUACUACUUGUGGAUUGACGCUGAUGGACGAAAGCGUGGGGAGCGAACAGGAUUAGAAACCCCUGUAGUCC
rnacentral:rRNA from 1 species